rnacentral:rRNA from 1 species
AUUGAACGCUGGCGGCAGGCCUAACACAUGCAAGUCGAGCGCGCGGCGGACGGGUGAGUAAUGUCUGGGAAACUGCCUGAUGGAGGGGGAUAACUCCUGGAAACGGUAGCUAAUACCGCAUACCCUCAGAUGUGCCCCGAUGGGAUUCGCUGGUAGGUGGGGUAACGGCUCACCUAGGCGACGAUCCCUAGCUGGUCUGAGAGGAUGACCAGCCACACUGGAACUGAGACACGGUACAGACUCCGACGGGAGGCAGCAGUGGGGAAUAUUGCACAAUGGGCGCAAGCCGGAUGCAGCCAGGCCGCGUGUAUGAAGAAGGCCUUCGGGUUGUAAAGUACUUUCAGCGGGGAGGCGUUACCCGCAGAAGAAGCACCGGCUAACUCCGUGCCAGCAGCCGCGGUAAUAC